CAGUAGCCGCGGUAAUACAGAGGGUGCGAGCGUUAAUCGGAAUUAUUGGGCGUAAAGGGUGCGUAGGCGGUUUGACAAGUCUUAUGUGAAAUCUUCGGGCUCAACCCGAAGUCUGCAUGGGAAACUGUCGGGCUUGAGUAUGGGAGAGGUGAGUGGAAUUUCCGGUGUAGCGGUGAAAUGCGUAGAUAUCGGAAGGAACACCUGUGGCGAAAGCGGCUCACUGGACCAUAACUGACGCUGAUGCACGAAAGCUAGGGGAGCAGACAGGAUUAGAUACCCGGGUAGUCCCUGUCUCUUAUAC
rnacentral:rRNA from 1 species